rnacentral:rRNA from 1 species
AAACCAAAACCACCAAACAUGCUUCCUGGUUUUUUAGUUGGGGCGACUUUGGAGCAAAAAAAACCCUCCAAAACAUAAAUCCAUUUAUUAAGACUAACACAUCAAAAAUAAUAUCAUAGACCCAGCAGUACCUAUUUACUGCCUGACCAAUGAACCAAGUUACCCCAGGGAUAACAGCGCCAUCCUCUUCUAGAGUCCCUAUCGACAAGAGGGUUUACGACCUCGAUGUUGGAUCAGGGCACCCCUAUAGUGCAGCCGCUAUAAAAGGUUCGUUUGUUCAACGAUUAAAGUCCUACGUGAUCUGAGUUCAGACCGGACG